UUAAGUUAUUAAGGGCGCACGGUGGAUGCCUUGGCACUAGAAGCCGAUGAAGGACGUUACUAACGACGAUAUGCUUUGGGGAGCUGUAAGUAAGCUUUGAUCCAGAGAUUUCCGAAUGGGGAAACCCAGCAUGAGUUAUGUCAUGUUAUCGAUAUGUGAAUACAUAGCAUAUCAGAAGGCACACCCGGAGAACUGAAACAUCUUAGUACCCGGAGGAAGAGAAAGAAAAUUCGAUUCCCUUAGUAGCGGCGAGCGAAACGGGAAGAGCCCAAACCAAAAAGCUUGCUUGUUGGGGUUGUAGGACACUCUAUACGGAGUUACAAAGGACGACAUUAGACGAAUCAUCUGGAAAGAUGAAUCAAAGAAGGUAAUAAUCCUGUAGUCGAAAAUGUUGUCUCUCUUGAGUGGAUCCUGAGUACGACGGAGCACGUGAAAUUCCGUCGGAAUCUGGGAGGACCAUCUCCUAAGGCUAAAUACUCUCUAGUGACCGAUAGUGAACCAGUACCGUGAGGGAAAGGUGAAAAGCACCCCGGAAGGAGAGUGAAAUAGAACCUGAAACCGUGUGCUUACAAGUAGUCAGAGCCCGUUAAUGGGUGAUGGCGUGCCUUUUGUAGAAUGAACCGGCGAGUUACGAUUUGAUGCAAGGUUAAGCAGUAAAUGUGGAGCCGUAGCGAAAGCGAGUCUGAAUAGGGCGUUUAGUAUUUGGUCGUAGACCCGAAACCAGGUGAUCUACCCUUGGUCAGGUUGAAGUUCAGGUAACACUGAAUGGAGGACCGAACCGACUUACGUUGAAAAGUGAGCGGAUGAACUGAGGGUAGCGGAGAAAUUCCAAUCGAACCUGGAGAUAGCUGGUUCUCUCCGAAAUAGCUUUAGGGCUAGCCUCAAGUGAUGAUUAUUGGAGGUAGAGCACUGUUUGGACGAGGGGCCCCUCUCGGGUUACCGAAUUCAGACAAACUCCGAAUGCCAAUUAAUUUAACUUGGGAGUCAGAACAUGGGUGAUAAGGUCCGUGUUCGAAAGGGAAACAGCCCAGACCACCAGCUAAGGUCCCAAAAUAUAUGUUAAGUGGAAAAGGAUGUGGCGUUGCCCAGACAACUAGGAUGUUGGCUUAGAAGCAGCCAUCAUUUAAAGAGUGCGUAAUAGCUCACUAGUCGAGUGACACUGCGCCGAAAAUGUACCGGGGCUAAACAUAUUACCGAAGCUGUGGAUUGUCCUUUGGACAAUGGUAGGAGAGCGUUCUAAGGGCGUUGAAGCAUGAUCGUAAGGACAUGUGGAGCGCUUAGAAGUGAGAAUGCCGGUGUGAGUAGCGAAAGACGGGUGAGAAUCCCGUCCACCGAUUGACUAAGGUUUCCAGAGGAAGGCUCGUCCGCUCUGGGUUAGUCGGGUCCUAAGCUGAGGCCGACAGGCGUAGGCGAUGGAUAACAGGUUGAUAUUCCUGUACCACCUAUAAUCGUUUUAAUCGAUGGGGGGACGCAGUAGGAUAGGCGAAGCGUGCGAUUGGAUUGCACGUCUAAGCAGUAAGGCUGAGUAUUAGGCAAAUCCGGUACUCGUUAAGGCUGAGCUGUGAUGGGGAGAAGACAUUGAGUCUUCGAGUCGUUGAUUUCACACUGCCGAGAAAAGCCUCUAGAUAGAAAAUAGGUGCCCGUACCGCAAACCGACACAGGUAGUCAAGAUGAGAAUUCUAAGGUGAGCGAGCGAACUCUCGUUAAGGAACUCGGCAAAAUGACCCCGUAACUUCGGGAGAAGGGGUGCUCUUUAGGGUUAACGCCCAGAAGAGCCGCAGUGAAUAGGCCCAAGCGACUGUUUAUCAAAAACACAGGUCUCUGCUAAACCGUAAGGUGAUGUAUAGGGGCUGACGCCUGCCCGGUGCUGGAAGGUUAAGAGGAGUGGUUAGCUUCUGCGAAGCUACGAAUCGAAGCCCCAGUAAACGGCGGCCGUAACUAUAACGGUCCUAAGGUAGCGAAAUUCCUUGUCGGGUAAGUUCCGACCCGCACGAAAGGCGUAACGAUUUGGGCACUGUCUCAACGAGAGACUCGGUGAAAUCAUAGUACCUGUGAAGAUGCAGGUUACCCGCGACAGGACGGAAAGACCCCGUGGAGCUUUACUGUAGCCUGAUAUUGAAAUUCGGCACAGCUUGUACAGGAUAGGUAGGAGCCUUUGAAACGUGAGCGCUAGCUUACGUGGAGGCGCUGGUGGGAUACUACCCUAGCUGUGUUGGCUUUCUAACCCGCACCACUUAUCGUGGUGGGAGACAGUGUCAGGCGGGCAGUUUGACUGGGGCGGUCGCCUCCUAAAAGGUAACGGAGGCGCUCAAAGGUUCCCU
rnacentral:rRNA from 1 species